UACGUAGGCAGCGAGCGUUGUUCGGAGUUACUGGGCGUAAAGGGUGUGUAGGCGGUCCCUUAAGUUUGGUGUGAAAUCUCCCGGCUCAACUGGGAGGGUGCGCCGGAUACUGAGGGGCUAGAGUGCGGGAAGGGAAAGUGGAAUUCCUGGUGUAGCGGUGAAAUGCGCAGAUAUCAGGAAGAACACCAAUGGCGAAGGCAGCACUCUGGGACGGUACUGACGCUGAGACGCGAAAGCGUGGGGAGCAAACAGG
rnacentral:rRNA from 1 species